rnacentral:tRNA from 1 species
GCCUGGGUGGCUCAGUGGGUUAAGCAUCCAACUUCAACUCAGGGCAUGAUCUUGCAGUUCGUGAGUUCGGGCCCCACCUCAGGCU